GCGGCCGCCGCCUGUGCCCGCGGGUUGGGGGAGAUGGCGCCGUGCCCACCCCGCGGCCACCCGGGAUGAGCCGUGGGCGAGCCCGGCUGCGAGGGGGGAAGUUGAAGGCUGGGUCCCCGGCGGGUCGCUCGGCCGGCUGCGAGGGGGCGGGCGGCGCCGGGCGCCCGAGGAGGAGCCCGAGCAUUCCCGCGGCGGGGACAGCCGGCGAGCGGGCGGCGGGCGGUGGGGCUUCAUGGGCUGCUCACGCCAACAUGGUGCUCGCCCUCAACGGCAGCCACCUCUACGGUAACCUCCGGCCCCUGGUCCUGGAGGACCCGCGGGCGCUGAGCGGCGGCAGGAUGAUCGCCGGCUCCUGGCCCCCGCGCAGCCUGGCCAAGCUCAGUCCGUCUCCUGCCCCGUCGGCGCUGCCCACGGCGAGCCCUCUCCCCGCCAACGACUCCCAGUGCGGAGAGCAAAUCCUCAGCUACGGCAACGUGGAGAAAGUUCUCAUCGGGGCCGUGCUCUGCCUCAUCACCCUUCUGACCAUCGCCGGCAACUGCCUGGUGGUAAUCUCCGUCUGCUUCGUGAAGAAGCUGCGGCAGCCCUCCAACUAUCUCAUCGUCUCGCUGGCCCUGGCAGAUCUCUCGGUGGCCCUGGCCGUCAUGCCCUUCGUCAGCGUCACCGACCUUAUCGGCGGCGAGUGGAUCUUCGGGCGCCUCUUCUGCAACGUCUUCAUCGCCAUGGAUGUCAUGUGCUGCACGGCCUCCAUCAUGACCCUCUGCGUGAUAAGUAUCGACAGGUACUUGGGAAUAACAAGACCUCUUACGUACCCUGUAAGGCAGAAUGGGAAGUGUAUGGCCAAGAUGAUCCUGUGUGUAUGGCUUUUAUCUGCCUCUAUCACUAUACCCCCGCUCUUCGGUUGGGCCCAAAAUGUAAAUGACGAAAAGGUUUGUCUGAUCAGUCAAGACUUCGGCUACACCAUUUACUCCACAGCAGUUGCAUUUUAUAUCCCCAUGUCAGUGAUGCUUUUCAUGUACUACCAGAUUUACAAAGCUGCCAAGAGGAGUGCUGCUAAACACAAGUUUACUGGUUUUCCCCGUCUGGAAGAAACGGAAGGGAUUUCUAUGAAUGGAAUUGUAAAACUGCACAAGGAAUCUGAAGAAUGUGCUAAUUUUUCACGACUCCUAAAGCACGACAAGAAAAACAUUUCCAUCUUUAAAAGAGAACAGAAAGCUGCCACUACCCUUGGGAUUAUUGUUGGGGCUUUCACUGUCUGCUGGCUGCCCUUUUUCCUCCUCUCAACUGCAAGGCCCUUCAUCUGCGGGACGUCAUGCAGCUGUAUCCCACUCUGGGUUGAGAGAACAUUUCUAUGGUUGGGCUAUGCAAACUCUCUCAUUAACCCUUUUAUAUAUGCCUUCUUCAAUCGAGACUUGAGGACAACUUAUCGCAACCUCCUGCAGUGCAGAUACAGGAAUAUCAACCGGAAACUGUCAGCUGCAGGGAUGCAUGAGGCUCUGAAGCUUGCAGAAAAGCCAGAAUUUGUUCUGUAAGGUCACUCGUCCUUUACUAUGAUAAUUUGUUGGUUUAUCACAUUAGCUUUUUCCCCACAGAUUUGAAAGAAGAGUUAUAGGAAGAACCAGGCUUCUUGACGACUGUUAAUGCAGUCAUCGAGAAACUGGAAGGUAGCAGUGUAGAGCCCACCUGUGAGCCUGGAAAAACAAGACCACCAUCCGAAGAAUUUAGGUGUAAGAGGAAUAUGAGAAAGGAGGAGAGGAAAAUGUGGUGCAGGAUGUAUGAGCUGCUAGUGAGGAAAGAGUAAAGUUGGUCUAACUCACCUGUUUGGCGCAAACAACUGAAGGUCUGAAUGUUGGAUGCAUCUUGUAUCCUAGAGAUUCUUUGCUGUAAUAAAGACCUGAGAAUGGUGAAAAGUUUGCUGUAAUUCAUUACUUUCCACUUUGUUAUUAUAAAAAUAAACCAUUUAAGAAGAAGCUGGAUCCAGGAACUUCCAUCAGUUAGAAUUAUUUUUAUUAUAAAAACUCAUAUGUUCAUUAAACAUUCAUUUACUAGGUUGCCUGGAAAUGAACUACUUUGUGAAAUUUAAUAUUGCCUUUGCACAGCAACUCUGGCACUGAAAGAAUACAUUAUACUUCCAAUGUGAAUAUAAGAGUUUGAGUAAAGUCACAAGGACCAACUUCUACUGCUGCAUACAGAAUGCAUACUGCAUUCAGUGCUGCUAUGCUAACUACACCAGGAGAAGUUCUGAUUUCUCCAGGGAAAAAGAGUCAUGAUCAAAUGUGCUUUAAAGCAGCCAGAAAAGGCCAAGCCAGAACAGGAAGAAGAAAAAUGAAGAGUUGGCUUCUAAAGAUCUGGAUAGAUUUAUGAAGCAUACUUCAUCUUCUUUUGAUGGAAAUGUGCUAAAAAUACUCCAUGAGCUCGAUACAUUACAUUAAUACGUUUCUGUUGGAAGUAGUCACAUCUUGUUUGUUAUGAAGGAAAGUGCUGCUAUACACAAAUGAAAAUAGUUUUCUGCCUGAGAAAGCCAAGCCAUUCCAGCACUAAGAGUUUGGCACACAGGGUUGAGAAACAAACAUGCAACCAAAACUCAAAGAUCUAGCAUUGUACAGAUUUCUACCACAUUAAACAAUGUAGAAGAGUAUUCAUAUGUUUACCAUGCUCAUGGAUCAUAACAUUAAUAUUAAUAUUCAGGGAUUUUCAGUGAUACUGAAUGUAUUUUGGUGCACUACAAAAAGAGGUUUUCAGGUAAAUGCUGGCUCUAUGGAUGCUUUCAGGGCUUGUGUUAGAGAUGCCAUGCACCUGGAAUGGGAUUGAAAACAACAACAAUAAAAGACCAAUUUUUGUAAAAACAUUCAAACAUUCUAUUGUACUAAGUAAAUGCCUGUUACUUGUUAACAUACAUGUGGUUUGUUCUCCCAAACCUUUUAAAAAAGCUGCUUUCAGUUAUGCUGUGACAAAAGUUAAGAGACAGAAUUAGAAUGCACAUGUAUUACACCACAGCUAAUUUACAAAUAUGAUUGCUUUGAUUUAAUGUAAUUUUCAUGACCUGCCAAUUUACAAAUUUCUAUAAUUUCAACUCAAAUAAGUAUAAAAGGCUGGAGAAUGUCCAUAGUUCUUUGCUUUUUAUCUUACUGAGUAGCUAGAGAGAGAUUUAAAACACUUAUUAUUUUAAAAAAUGUGUUUAAGAAGUGUUAUUUCUGCCAAUUUUUUUUAUAAUUAAAAUAGAUCCCUUUGGCUUGACAAAAAUCAAAUAGGCAAGUAUUAAUGAACAUCUGUCCCACGGAAAAUUGAUUCAAGAGAUUGUUCUUAAAAUAUGCCUUUGAACAUUUGUUUUGAGCUUCUCAUAUUCAUUUCCCCACAGAGUUUCUAAACUAUGCAUGGUUAUACCGUCCACAAGGCAGUGGCACAUCCCAUUCUAAGGGCUAUCUUCCUUAAAGGUACAUCUCAGUGAGCACUUACCCUAUUUCCAUAGCUGUGUGAUUUGUGAUAACAUGGUCUCCUACUUGCAGUUUAACCAAAAUGUGGCUGGUAAAUCACACACUGACUCCACGUGGCAUCAUGGCUUUGAUUUCCUUUGUUUAAGUUAACAUACAAGUUCACAACAGUCACCAGGCAUAUCAGGAUGGGCCAAUUCAUUUCUUAUUGGCAAGAGAUAAGUCCUGGAAGCAAAUCAAUACAUGUUAAGCCUAUGUAAAACCUAGAACAGAGAGCCUAACUCAUCUUCUACACGCUGCCCUGAGACCCUAAGAUAACUUCUGUGGUUACACAAGAUAGCACCAGAGUAUCAUAUUUUCAUUGUAGUAGAUUAGCAAAUCUCUUUUCAGUAUUUCACUGAUAAAACUAAUCACUGUGAACUCUGCAUUUGAAGCAAAAUGAGUCCUAUAAUUUGCUUUAUUUCCCCAAUGGAAUGACUCAGAUAUGCUUUUUACUUGGUUAGCCUUAAGUAUUUAACAGGAAAUGGGACAGUUAUUGUCAAUGGCAAAUGGACCAUUUCUGGUUGCAUUACAUGAGAAUGCAUUCAGAGAAACAGCUGAAGGCAAAACUACACUAGCAGAUAAUAUUAUAACUGAACCUAAUGAGAAAGGGAGAGAAUAGAUCCAUAAAUGUAACAGUAAAAAAAAAAAAAGAAAGGUGUUUCUUGUUUUAAAAAACCCAAACCUUAAAAUGAAGGGCGCUAGUCAUGCCCUGAAACUCAUUUUCAAGCUUUACGGUCUCAUUUGCAUGUCCAUUUCACAAGGGCUAUGAAUCAAUUUUACCUUGAUGAAUUAGACAGUCGUUUUCCUUGUUCAUAAUAUUGUACCAAAACCUUAACUUGAAGUGAAAUGGAAAAACUAUAUGUCAUGAGAAUAGUUCGAAGGAUUAAAAUCCCCACCCAAAUAAAAAAAUGCUACCAAUGAAAUUUUUCUGUGAAAAUUUUUGGGUUUUUUUAAUGUCAUUAUUUUAAGCUUAAGUGAAAAGACAUGUUUUAGGAGAAAGUUAAUGGAGGGCAAAAGAAUCAGAAAGAGCUGUUAGGGAGCCACAGUUCUCAUUAGAUAUAACUAUACAGAUAUAUAACACACACAUUCAUCCCUCAUAUUUUAGAAUUGGUACUGCCUCAUGAAAAUAAGGCAAUAAAACUAAUAUUACCUGAUAAAACAUUUGUUUCUUUUAAUACUAUUACAUUCCCAGAAUUGUGCAGAAAUUAAAGGAUCUUUUAGGAUGGGUUGUGGCAUCAUGGACCUAAUAAAGUUGCAGUUCUACCUGUUUCUUUCCAUAAAGAGUUUUUCAUCCAGGAAUUUUCAGACACAUAAACAACCCAGAGAAAAUUGGCAACUACAGAAUACUGAUACUUUGUCAUACAAGACAAAACUCAUUUUUUUCCAGCUGUAGCUGCCAGGUCUGCCCCCUCUCAAACCAACACGCUAAUCUGUGCAGUAACUAGAAGUCACUCAAGGCUGAGGACAUAUUCAAAAAUAGCAAAUAAUGCAUACAAUACUUUAGAGGAUCAGAGAAAAAAAUAGGGCUGAUCAAAAGAAGUCAAGUGAUUGGAUGACCUGUUGGGAUAAGGAGUUGAGCUUUCAGUAGUUCCUGCAGCCAGUAGUACAAGGGCAGCACACAAACCUGCCUCACACUGAGAUAAUGCAAGUCCCCAGGCUGUAGAUAUAAAACCAGCAGAGUGAAUAAUGUCAGAAAGAAGGCUCAUACUCACUGCUCUGGAUCUGCAGAAGAUACCUUUCUGGCAUCUUGUUCUGAGGUGUGACAGUGAGUAGUUUGUAUUUUCACAGGGCUGCCUUAUGGUAGAUAUCAUUGCAUUUGCCAGUUUUAAUGAAUAAAAUUAAUUUU